AUACGGAGGAUCCGAGCGUUAUCCGGAUUUAUUGGGUUUAAAGGGAGCGUAGGCGGACGCUUAAGUCAGUUGUGAAAGUUUGCGGCUCAACCGUAAAAUUGCAGUUGAUACUGGGUGUCUUGAGUACAGUGGAGGCAGGCGGAAUUCGUGGGGUAGCGGUUAAAUGCUUAGAUAUCACGAAGAACUCCGAUUGCGAAGGCCGCCUGCUGGAAUGUAACUGACGCUGAUGCUCGAAAGUGUGGGUAUCAAACAGGAUUAGAUACCCUGGUAGUCCACACAGUAAACGAUGAAUACUCGCUGUUUGCGAUAUACAGUAAGCGGCCAAGCGAAAGCGUUAAGUAUUCCACCUGGGGAGUACGCCGGCAACGGUGAAACUCAAAUGAAUUGACGGGG
rnacentral:rRNA from 1 species